rnacentral:rRNA from 1 species
AAAUUGAAGAGUUUGAUCAUGGCUCAGAUUGAACGCUGGCGGCAGGCCUAACACAUGCAAGUCGAACGGUAGCACAGAGAGCUUGCUCUCGGGUGACGAGUGGCGGACGGGUGAGUAAUGUCUGGGAAACUGCCUGAUGGAGGGGGAUAACUACUGGAAACGGUGGCUAAUACCGCAUAACGUCGCAAGACCAAAGAGGGGGACCUUCGGGCCUCUUGCCAUCAGAUGUGCCCAGAUGGGAUUAGCUUGUUGGUGAGGUAACGGCUCACCAAGGCGACGAUCCCUAGCUGGUCUGAGAGGAUGACCAGCCACACUGGAACUGAGACACGGUCCAGACUCCUACGGGAGGCAGCAGUGGGG